CGACGUGUAGUUCAGGGAAGAACACCGGGCUGAUCCCGGAGGGCGCAGGUUCGGAGCCUGCCACGUCGG
rnacentral:tRNA from 1 species